GACGAACGCUGGCGGCGUGCUUAACACAUGCAAGUCGAACGGAAAGGCCCUGCUUUUGUGGGGUGCUCGAGUGGCGAACGGGUGAGUAACACGUGAGUAACCUGCCCUUGACUUUGGGAUAACUUCAGGAAACUGGGGCUAAUACCGGAUAGGAGCUCCUGCUGCAUGGUGGGGGUUGGAAAGUUUCGGCGGUUGGGGAUGGACUCGCGGCUUAUCAGCUUGUUGGUGGGGUAGUGGCUUACCAAGGCUUUGACGGGUAGCCGGCCUGAGAGGGUGACCGGCCACAUUGGGACUGAGAUACGGCCCAGACUCCUACGGGAGGCAGCAGUGGGGAAUAUUGCACAAUGGGCGGAAGCCUGAUGCAGAAACGCGGCGUGCGGGAUGACGGCCUUCGGGUUGUAAACCGCUUUCGCAUGUGACGAAGAGUGAGUGACGGUAAUGGGUAAAGAAGCACCGGCUAACUACGUG
rnacentral:rRNA from 1 species